rnacentral:rRNA from 2 species
UACGUAGGGUGCGAGCGUUGUCCGGAAUUACUGGGCGUAAAGAGCUCGUAGGUGGUUUGUCGCGUUGUUCGUGAAAACUCACGGCUUAACUGUGAGCGUGCGGGCGAUACGGGCAGACUGGAGUACUGCAGGGGAGACUGGAAUUCCUGGUGUAGCGGUGGAAUGCGCAGAUAUCAGGAGGAACACCGGUGGCGAAGGCGGGUCUCUGGGCAGUAACUGACGCUGAGGAGCGAAAGCGUGGGGAGCGAACAGG